GGUUAAGCGACUAAGCGUACACGGUGGAUGCCCUGGCAGUCAGAGGCGAUGAAGGACGUGCUAAUCUGCGAAAAGCGUCGGUAAGGUGAUAUGAACCGUUAUAACCGGCGAUGUCCGAAUGGGGAAACCCAGUGUGUUUCGACACACUAUCAUUAACUGAAUCCAUAGGUUAAUGAGGCGAACCGGGGGAACUGAAACAUCUAAGUACCCCGAGGAAAAGAAAUCAACCGAGAUUCCCCCAGUAGCGGCGAGCGAACGGGGAGGAGCCCAGAGCCUGAAUCAGUGUGUGUGUUAGUGGAAGCGUCUGGAAAGGCGCGCGAUACAGGGUGACAGCCCCGUACACAAAAAUGCACAUGCUGUGAGCUCGAUGAGUAGGGCGGGACACGUGGUAUCCUGUCUGAAUAUGGGGGGACCAUCCUCCAAGGCUAAAUACUCCUGACUGACCGAUAGUGAACCAGUACCGUGAGGGAAAGGCGAAAAGAACCCCGGCGAGGGGAGUGAAAAAGAACCUGAAACCGUGUACGUACAAGCAGUGGGAGCCCUGAUUUAUCAGGGUGACUGCGUACCUUUUGUAUAAUGGGUCAGCGACUUAUAUUCUGUAGCAAGGUUAACCGAAUAGGGGAGCCGGAGGGAAACCGAGUCUUAACUGGGCGUUAAGUUGCAGGGUAUAGACCCGAAACCCGGUGAUCUAGCCAUGGGCAGGUUGAAGGUUGGGUAACACUAACUGGAGGACCGAACCGACUAAUGUUGAAAAAUUAGCGGAUGACUUGUGGCUGGGGGUGAAAGGCCAAUCAAACCGGGAGAUAGCUGGUUCUCCCCGAAAGCUAUUUAGGUAGCGCCUCGUGAAUUCAUCUCCGGGGGUAGAGCACUGUUUCGGCAAGGGGGUCAUCCCGACUUACCAACCCGAUGCAAACUGCGAAUACCGGAGAAUGUUAUCACGGGAGACACACGGCGGGUGCUAACGUCCGUCGUGAAGAGGGAAACAACCCAGACCGCCAGCUAAGGUCCCAAAGUCAUGGUUAAGUGGGAAACGAUGUGGGAAGGCCCAGACAGCCAGGAUGUUGGCUUAGAAGCAGCCAUCAUUUAAAGAAAGCGUAAUAGCUCACUGGUCGAGUCGGCCUGCGCGGAAGAUGUAACGGGGCUAAACCAUGCACCGAAGCUGCGGCAGCGACACUGUGUGUUGUUGGGUAGGGGAGCGUUCUGUAAGCCUGCGAAGGUGUGCUGUGAGGUAUGCUGGAGGUAUCAGAAGUGCGAAUGCUGACAUAAGUAACGAUAAAGCGGGUGAAAAGCCCGCUCGCCGGAAGACCAAGGGUUCCUGUCCAACGUUAAUCGGGGCAGGGUGAGUCGACCCCUAAGGCGAGGCCGAAAGGCGUAGUCGAUGGGAAACAGGUUAAUAUUCCUGUACUUGGUGUUACUGCGAAGGGGGGACGGAGAAGGCUAUGUUGGCCGGGCGACGGUUGUCCCGGUUUAAGCGUGUAGGCUGGUUUUCCAGGCAAAUCCGGAAAAUCAAGGCUGAGGCGUGAUGACGAGGCACUACGGUGCUGAAGCGACAAAUGCCCUGCUUCCAGGAAAAGCCUCUAAGCAUCAGGUAACAUCAAAUCGUACCCCAAACCGACACAGGUGGUCAGGUAGAGAAUACCAAGGCGCUUGAGAGAACUCGGGUGAAGGAACUAGGCAAAAUGGUGCCGUAACUUCGGGAGAAGGCACGCUGAUAUGUAGGUGAAGCGACUUGCUCGUGGAGCUGAAAUCAGUCGAAGAUACCAGCUGGCUGCAACUGUUUAUUAAAAACACAGCACUGUGCAAACACGAAAGUGGACGUAUACGGUGUGACGCCUGCCCGGUGCCGGAAGGUUAAUUGAUGGGGUCAGCGCAAGCGAAGCUCUUGAUCGAAGCCCCGGUAAACGGCGGCCGUAACUAUAACGGUCCUAAGGUAGCGAAAUUCCUUGUCGGGUAAGUUCCGACCUGCACGAAUGGCGUAAUGAUGGCCAGGCUGUCUCCACCCGAGACUCAGUGAAAUUGAACUCGCUGUGAAGAUGCAGUGUACCCGCGGCAAGACGGAAAGACCCCGUGAACCUUUACUAUAGCUUGACACUGAACACUGGUCCUUGAUGUGUAGGAUAGGUGGGAGGCUUUGAAGUGUGGACGCCAGUCUGCAUGGAGCCGUCCUUGAAAUACCACCCUUUAAUGGCUGGUGUUCUAACGUGGGCCCGUAAUCCGGGUUGCGGACAGUGUCUGGUGGGUAGUUUGACUGGGGCGGUCUCCUCCUAAAGAGUAACGGAGGAGCACGAAGGUUGGCUAAUCCUGGUCGGACAUCAGGAGGUUAGUGCAAUGGCAUAAGCCAGCUUGACUGCGAGCGUGACGGCGCGAGCAGGUGCGAAAGCAGGUCAUAGUGAUCCGGUGGUUCUGAAUGGAAGGGCCAUCGCUCAACGGAUAAAAGGUACUCCGGGGAUAACAGGCUGAUACCGCCCAAGAGUUCAUAUCGACGGCGGUGUUUGGCACCUCGAUGUCGGCUCAUCACAUCCUGGGGCUGAAGUAGGUCCCAAGGGUAUGGCUGUUCGCCAUUUAAAGUGGUACGCGAGCUGGGUUUAGAACGUCGUGAGACAGUUCGGUCCCUAUCUGCCGUGGGCGCUGGAGAACUGAGGGGGGCUGCUCCUAGUACGAGAGGACCGGAGUGGACGCAUCACUGGUGUUCGGGUUGUCAUGCCAAUGGCACUGCCCGGUAGAGCUAAAUGCGGAAGAGAUAAGUGCUGAAAGCAUCUAAGCACGAAACUUGCCCCGAGAUGAGUUCUCCCUGAGACUUAGAGUCUCCUGAAGGAACGUUGAAGACGACGACGUUGAUAGGCCGGGUGUGUAAGCGCAGCGAUGCGUUGAGCUAACCGGUACUAAUGAACCGUGAGGCUUAACCUU
rnacentral:rRNA from 1 species